rnacentral:rRNA from 1 species
UACGGAGGGUGCAAGCGUUAUCCGGAUUCACUGGGUUUAAAGGGUGCGUAGGCGGGUUGGUAAGUCCGUGGUGAAAUCCCCAAGCUUAACUUGGGAACUGCCGUGGAUACUAUCAAUCUUGAAUAUCGUGGAGGUAAGCGGAAUAUGUCAUGUAGCGGUGAAAUGCUUAGAUAUCGUCAAGAACACCAAUAGUGAAGACAGCUUACUAGGCUUAAACUGACGCUGAGGCACGAAAGUGUGGGGAUCAAACAGG